rnacentral:rRNA from 1 species
UACGUAGGGUGCAAGCGUUGUCCGGAAUUAUUGGGCGUAAAGAGCUCGUAGGCGGUCUGUUGCGUCGGCUGUGAAAACCCGGAGCUCAACUCCGGGCCUGCAGUCGAUACGGGCAGACUGGAGUUCGGCAGGGGAGACUGGAAUUCCUGGUGUAGCGGUGAAAUGCGCAGAUAUCAGGAGGAACACCAAUGGCGAAGGCAGCUCACUGGGACGGUAUUGACGCUGAGACGCGAAAGCGUGGGGAGCAAACAGG